GGGUAUAGCUCAGUGGUAGGGCACGUGCUUAGCAUGCGCAAGGUCCUGGGCUCAAUCCCCAGUGCCUCCA
rnacentral:tRNA from 1 species